ensembl:snRNA U6 U6 spliceosomal RNA
GUGCUCACUUCAGCAGCAUACUCUAAUUGGAAUAAUUUAGAGAAGAUUACCAUAGCCUCUGCACAAAGAUGACACAUUAAUUCAUGGUUAUAUUCUAUAAAUUA